UACGGAGGGUGCGAGCGUUGUCCGGAAUCACUGGGCGUAAAGGGCGCGUAGGCGGCCUGAUAAGUAGGGGGUGAAAUCCUGCGGCUUAACCGCAGGGCUGCCUUCUAAACUGUCGGGCUAGAGCACGGUAGAGGCAGACGGAAUUCCCGGUGUAGCGGUGGAAUGCGUAGAGAUCGGGAAGAACAUCGGUGGCGAAAGCGCUCUACUGGACCGCAACUGACACUCAGGGACGAAAGCUAGGGGAGCGAAUGGG
rnacentral:rRNA from 1 species